rnacentral:sRNA from 1 species
CCAACAGUCAGCUCAGAGAAGUCUAUGUUCCAUUCUUCAU